CGCCUCUUGCUAACAAAGGAAGUACUAGAGGUCCCGCCUGCCCUGUGACCACAAAGUUUAACGGCCGCGGUAUCCUGACCGUGCGAAGGUAGCGUAAUCAUUUGUCUUUUAAAUAGAGACCUGUAUGAAUGGCAUAACGAGGGUUUAACUGUCUCCUUCCCCUAGUCAAUGAAAUUGAUCUGCCCGUGCAGAAGCGGACAUAAACACAUAAGACGAGAAGACCCUAUGGAGCUUUAGACAAAAGAUCAAACAUGUAAAGAAACCAAACCAACCAAAAGGAACACGAAGGCCACAAAACCCAACGUAAACUGAUCUAAAUGUCUUCGGUUGGGGCGACCAUGGGGGAAAGAAAAGCCCCCACGAGGAACAGGGACAACCCCUAAACUAAGAGAGACACCUCUAAGCAACAGAAAAUCUGACCA
rnacentral:rRNA from 1 species